AGGAGUGACUGUCCCUGUCCUCUGCAGUUGUUGCCAGAGAGCAAUUUGCCCUUGAAUCCAAUCUACCAUCCCUAGACUGACAAUUUCAUUUCCCUCCCAGCCCACCCCCUGCCCCGAAGAUCUGCUGAAGCCGCGAGUUCCAGCUGAAGAGCCGGCAGGAUAAUAGUUAUUUGUCAAGAAGCCUGCUUACCUGUUGACGGGACCUCGUAUGCUCCAUUGGAUUAUUCUAGGGGUCCAUUUGAAGGGAAAGAUCCAGAAACAUCUUCAUCAAUACUUGCAGAGGCUAGGAGCAGUAUCGUCCUAAUUCCUGACUAUGGGGGCAGGAAAUUCCAGGCCACAAAGGUUGCUAACAUUUUUACCUGAUUUGCCUCCGGAUUUAAAGGACUAUUGAGCACCUGGCCGGGCCACUCAGGUUUGAGUAGAGGGAGCCUGGACACCGCCUCUCAGUGGAGGAAUGUGACCAUCCCAUGGCAGGGAGAGCAUCCGGGAAGGAGACGUGCUGAUGUGGCCAUCGUUGGGGAAUAGAACUUCUCACAAUUAAAUCUCAGUACGAACUGUUAAGAUGGUCAAUGAAGCUACAAUUA